rnacentral:rRNA from 1 species
AUUGAACGCUGGCGGCAGGCCUAACACAUGCAAGUCGAGCGAGCGGCGGACGGGUGAGUAAUGUCUGGGAAACUGCCCGAUGGAGGGGGAUAACUACUGGAAACGGUAGCUAAUACCGCAUACCAUCAGAUGUGCCCAGAUGGGAUUAGCUAGUAGGUGGGGUAAUGGCUCACCUAGGCGACGAUCCCUAGCUGGUCUGAGAGGAUGACCAGCCACACUGGGACUGAGACACGGUCCAGACUCCUACGGGAGGCAGCAGUGGGGAAUAUUGCACAAUGGGCGCAAGCCUGAUGCAGCCAUGCCGCGUGUGUGAAGAAGGCCUUAGGGUUGUAAAGCACUUUCAGUGGGGAGGCGUUACCCGCAGAAGAAGCACCGGCUAACUCCGUGCCAGCAGCCGCGGUAAUAC